rnacentral:rRNA from 1 species
GACAGAGGGUGCAAACGUUGUUCGGAAUUAUUGGGCGUAAAGCGCGCGCAGGCGGUCUCUUAAGUCUGAUGUGAAAGCCCACGGCUCAACCGUGGAGGGUCAUUGGAAACUGGGGGACUUGAGUACAGAAGAGGAAAGCGGAAUUCCACGUGUAGCGGUGAAAUGCGUAGAGAUGUGGAGGAACACCAGUGGCGAAGGCGGCUUUCUGGUCUGUAACUGACGCUGAGGCGCGAAAGCGUGGGGAGCAAACAGG